rnacentral:rRNA from 1 species
ACUACGGGAGGCAGCAGUGAGGAAUAUUGGUCAAUGGACGAGAGUCUGAACCAGCCAAGUAGCGUGAAGGAUGAGUGCCCUAUGGGUUGUAAACUUCUUUUAUAUGGGAAUAAAAUGUUCCAAGUGUGGGAUGUUGUAUGUACCAUAUGAAUAAGGAGUGGAUAAAUCCGUGCUAUCAGCCGCGAUAAUACGGAGGAUCCGAGCGUUAUCCGGAUUUAUUGAGUGUAAAGGGAGCGUAGGUGGAUUGUUAAGUCAGUUGUGAAAGUUUGCGGCUCAACCUUAAAAUUGAAGUUGAAACUGGCAGUCUUGAGUACCGUAGAGGUAGGCGGAAUUCGUGGUGUAGCGGUGAAAUGCUUAGAUAUCACGAAGAACUCCGAUUGCGAAGGCAGCUCACUGGACUGCAACUGACACUGAGGCUCGAAAGUGUGGGUAUCAAACAGGAUUAGAUACCCCUGUAGUC